rnacentral:ncRNA from 1 species
NNNNNNNNNNUUCGGCUUUAUUUGACUCAACACGGGGAAACUUACAAGGUCCAAACAUAGUAAGGAUUGACAGACUAAGAGAUCUUUCUUGAUUCAACUGGUGGUGGUGCAUGGUCGUUCUUAGUUGGUAAAGCGAUUUGUUUGGUUAAUUCCGUUAACGAAUGAGACCUCAUCCUGCUAACUAGCUAUGCAGAGGUAUCCUUUCGCGGCCAACUUCUUAAAGGGACUGCGACCUUUUAGGCCGCGAAUGUUUGAGGCAAUAACAGGUCUGUGAUGCCCUUAGAUGUUAUGGGCCGCACAAGCGCUACACUGAUUAUUCAACGAGCUUAUAGCCUUGGCCAACAGGACCGGGUAAUCUUUGAAAUUUCAUCGUGAUAGGGAUAUAUCAUUGCAUUUAUUGGUUUUCAACGAGGAAUUCCUAAUAAGCGCGAGUCAUCAGCUAGCGUUGACUACGUCCC